CUCAAGCUGAUACAGACCUAUUUGAAAUAUCAAUCCCUGAUGUUUAUCCUUAGGGAAGAUGAUGCAGCAUGAAGACCCUUUCCAGACAGAGGCCCCUUAAUUUCAGACUUCCUAGCUUCCGGUAUGGUAAAGUGAAUCAGGAGAUGAAGACAGCUGAGAACGUGAUCAUCUUCUUUGACGAUGUAUAACCUCAGAG